CCUACGGGUGGCAGCAGUGAGGAAUAUUGGUCAAUGGCCGUAAGGCUGAACCAGCCAAGUCGCGUGAAGGAAGAAGGAUCUAUGGUUUGUAAACUUCUUUUAUAGGGGAAUAAAGGUAUCCACGUGUGGAUAUUUGCAUGUACCCUAUGAAUAAGCAUCGGCUAACUCCGUGCCAGCAGCAGCGGUACUACGGAGGAGACGAGCGUUAUCCGGAUUUAUGGGGGUUAAAUGGUGCGUAGGCGGGCUUCUAAGGCAGCGGUACAAAUUCGGGUCUCAACCCUGUCCGGCCGGUGAAACUGGGGGCCGUGAGUGGGCGAGAAGAAGGCGGAAUGCGUGGUGUAGCGGUGAAAUGCAUAGAUAUCACGCAGAACCCCGAUUGCGAAGGCAGCCUUCCGGCGCCCUACUGACGCUGAGGCACGAAAUUGCGGGGAUCGAACAGGAUUAGAUACCCGGGUAGUC
rnacentral:rRNA from 1 species